CUAACUAUAAAAUGAGAGACAAGUAGUGGAGGAGUGCUUUGUGAGUGGAAAGAAAAUGGCAUUUGUGAAGAAGAAUCAAUCUUUAAUCACCAAGAUUUUGAUCAUUCUGAUCUCUGUCUCUGCCCUCCUCUUCUCUCUUGGGGAAGGCAGUGUUACUUGUCAGGGGAAAUGUGAAGAUAUUCCAGACUGUGAUGGGUUUUGUCGCAGAGGUGGGUACUCGGGAGGCAAAUGUUAUCCACCACUUUAUCAAUACUGUUGCUGCCAAGAUUAAUAAAUAAAGGCUUCUUAUGUUCAUCAGUUCAUGUUCUUCUGGAUAAAUAAAAGUAAAUUGCUGAUC